CUCGCAGUAGAAAAAGCUGGUAUUUCCAUUUUGUCUUUUAUAGCGUCCUACACACGUUCCGCUUCAUGAGGCAACCGACCAAUAAACGAUGGGGGCAAUGUUCAGACUGGGCAAGAAAAUUGGACACAUCCUAUCAAAGCAAUCAUCCCAGCAUUUCCAUUAAGCAAUACAAACAAAACCAAGGAAAACCUAAAUCUUGAUGGGUGGAUAGGCAUUUGAGUUGCUGUACUCAGAAUGUGCAUCUAGUCACUUCACAGCUACAAGACUUGGCCUGGGAUGGGAUGUUGGAUGGGUGCAUUGGGCAUAGUCUGAUGAUAAGUAAAAUAUUUAGAAACAUAUGGAUUUGUUACCUUGGUGAUGAGUGUCUCAUUAUGAGCGUGUAGUGUGAAGAUUCUUUCAGAUAUUUCACUAACAUUCUAUGCUACCAGACUAUUUCCAUGUAUGUAGAGUAAUGUACAAACUCUGAAAACAACUGGGUGCACUUGACAUGCCAAAUAUGCAAGAAAAAUAAAUUUGUAUCCUACACUCUGAGACUAUAUUUUUGAACUAAAGCAAUUUUCAGAAUAGUACCAAAGCAAGUAUUUUAAUAAAGUUUAGUUACUAACAAUGAGUACCAUGUUCCUAAUAUUUCAAAAUUGUCCAGAGAAGAGUUAAAACUCUCCAUCUUAAAGGGCACAUAACUGGUCCACAAAAUCUCUGCCUAAAGAUUAUCUCUACAGACUGGUUUACAUAAUUAUCUAAACCUCAGCAUUUGAGAAAGAGAUGCACAAGAAUAGGGAAAAUCAAAUGUAAACACAAUUUUAUUGUUCAUAACAAAUGACUAAGUUGUAAAUGGAUUCAUGAAAUUCUUGUUAUUUGUCUUUAAUCACAUUUACACAAUGUAUUUCAAAAUUCAAAAGCAAUUUUCCAACUAUUUACAGGGAAUUCAUUUGUAUUUUCCAUUUACUGAAAGGCACAGAAGUUAUUAGAGAGGUAUAAUUUAUAAACAUGUUCCUUUGAGCGUUCUUUCUCUGGCAUUUGAGAAUGUGAAUGAUGAGAAUAUUGCACAGAUUUUAAACGAACAAGUAUUACUGUAAUUGCCUGAGUCUCGACUCCAAAAAUGAAAUUAACAAUUCUCCAAGAUACAAUUGUUGCAUGGACUAUAAUUACGUCAAGCCUGUGCAAAUAUUUAACCACGUGCUCAUCCAGUGGCUUGAGACCUAUGCAAAAGAGAUUUCAAACAUUAAGGAGCAUAUAAAUCUUGCCUGUGAUAAAUCACUGCUCAAAUUAAUUAACACGUUUCCACCAAUUCGGCAUUUUCAACAGUGUAAAUUUAAAGAACUUACAACAUUGUACACCUUCUUACAAACUCAUUCGUGUGAAUAAUUUAAGGUCAUUAUAUCACAGCACUGGUUGUUACAUGAACACGCACAAAACUUGGUAUCCUUUUAUUAUGGUACGUCAUUUUUCCAAUUAAUGUUUUACUUUGAAUUCAUUUGAAUAAUUCAAUAACACUGUAUGAUCCAACAAUUUAAAUCUUUCUAACAAGCCACUAUAUGAAAAUUGAUUAAAUACCACAGAAAAUAUCAUAAUUCUUAAUCUGAGUAUCAGUUUUUGAGGAACCUAUCCUAAAAAAAUAGAAUAUCCUUUCCAUAUCAAUAAAAUAUGGGGGAAGGAGUGCAGCAACAAUGUUUUUAGGGUGUUUCCAAGACUGUUUUAUGAAACAGAAAUGAUACCUGAUAAAUCAUGACCAAGUAUCACUGUGCGCAGUCAGCAUUUACAAAUGAAAAAUAGUUCAAAGAAAACAAAAUUGGGUACGGAAAACAUCCCAAAAUUUAUGAGUAUUUAACAGAAGAGGUUACUCAAAAUAUAAUCUCUGAUGUUAUACUACACAUUUUGCUCUAUCUCAUUGUUACCCUGGAAAGCUGGCAGUUAUCAAGUGAACAGUUAAACAGCAUUUUAGAUACAUGUAUUCAGGUCAGUGCACCUUUCUCUCUAAUGAGCACUAGCAUCAUCAUCAUCAUCAUCAUCAUCAUCAUCAUCAUCAUCAUCAUUGUUGUAGUUGUCAUAUUUUAGUAUUGGUAUAUUGCGUAUAAGUGUGCAGCUUCCACACAAACAUAAAAAGAUUGACUAUGGUUCAAAUGAGGCAAUAUAAUUUGAAUAAGAUGCUUUAUUCACAGCUAAUUUCAAAUUAAUAGUUAUUUUCAAGUGUAUCUAGCAAACAUAACAAUUGACAUAUAUAAGAACAUGAAGUGGGAGAAACAUUUACAUCCAAAGUGACAGUAAACAUAGGUACACAGUCAUUAGUAAACUAACAAAAGAGAGAAAAGCUCUCUCUCAGUAUACUAAUGAAUGUGUAACCAUGUUGGUUGUCCCUCAUAAACAUCGUCGUUUUCCAACGCCAGUUUCCCGGGUGUGGUGUACAAGUGCUCGCCAUCUGCUUCUGUCUUCGUACAUCUUCUGUUUCAGGACAGCUUCCUUGGUUGUUACAAUGCAAACUGAUAAUCCUCAUUGUUCAUGUCCUCAUAUAUACUUACUAGAUACACUUUAAAAUUACUCUUAGGCUUAAACUGUCAAAUAUGAAAUAAGGCAUAUUAAUCAGAUAAUACACAGCCUCAGAAGGACCAUGACUUAUAACCAAUGCUCAGGCUGUGGAUGGACUCAAAUAUAACAAAAAGAAAUUUAAAAAAUGUUUUUAUAUGUAAAAAAUAUAAGAAAAACCAAAACAUAGCUAGACAUCAACGAUAAUUAAUGGUAGUUAAAAUAACAAUGUUUCAUACAAACAAAUAAUAUGGCAUUUCUUAAUUCAAGUGAGUAAGCAAAUAUAAUAGGUUAUGUGAUGUCUUACAUAUCAGAAUUUGAUUUUCAAAAAUAAUUUAGUAUCUUGUUGAUAACAACAAAUGCCAAAUAUAGUUCUAGCUUACUAAGUACAAGAAAUGUCAGGAGCUCCUCAUCGUUCUGAUAUAAUUGGUAAAAGAUGCAAGAUCAUUUACAAAAUGGGUGGAAAUUAUUGUGUCUCAGUGAUAAUUGUAGUAAACUAUAUACCGUCGAAUCAGCAGAGGAGAUCAUUUUGGCAUUUU